rnacentral:sRNA from 1 species
AAAAAAAAAAAAGAAGAGCAAAGCAGAGCUCUGAGCAGCUUCCUGCCCUAGCAUCCCUGGUUCAGCUGCUUUCUUCUUCCCAGGCAGCCGUGUCACCCAGAGCUGCAGCUGAGAUGGGUGCCAUCUCCCUGGGUUGCUUCUGCAGAGGAGGCCUCUCCUCCCCAGUGGAGCCUCCUUCCUGCUGGCUGUUGACUGAGUGUCCAGCUGAGGACACCAUCCCUGCAGUGCAUUUCUUGCUCACUGAUGUGAUGUGUUCAUGACUCCCAGCCUCUCUCUGUUUGCUCUGCCGCUAAUACAGGGAGGUGCCGCAGCCUCUGGGCCCCUGCAGCUGUGGCAGUGGAUGGUGCUGUUUUGUAUUCCUUAAUUUGUGCAGCACCAGCUGCGUGCAGGCACUGUGCUUGGCACCAGGGCUGUAAUAGGACCCAGAUAGAUGCGUGCCUGCCCUGGCCAGGCUCAUGCUCUGCAGAUGGGGUCAGAGGUCAACAUGCAGUAGAGCAAAAGACAGCAGAUGGGGUGCACGGGCAGGCUGUGGUUUUAUACAGGGCGAUCAGGGAGGCACCCCAGAGAAGGGAACACAGGCCUGCAGGAAAUGAGGUGUGGAGUGGACAGCAGGAAGGGCAGUCCAGGGGGCAGCGGGGCACAGGCCCGGUGUGUACAGGCCAGGAAAGAAAGGCAGGUGGCCGUGUGAAGCCGCAAGGGGUUGGGGGGAGUGGGGAGGCACUGGCCGGGUCUUGCUUCUUGCAGCAAAGCAUGCUUUGGGCCUACCCAGGUCCCUGUCACCUGGGGGCCCAGUGCCCCUACCUGCCCUGGAGGGACCGGCCCCACCAGCCAUCUGUUCCUUGCAGCUGUGCCAUAAGUAACGUGAAGAAGGUGUCCCUGGAACUGGGCGGGAAGUCACCCCUCAUCAUCUUUGCUGACUGUGACCUCAACAAGGCUGUGCAGAUGGGGAUGAGCUCUGUUUUCUUCAACAAAGGAGAGAACUGCAUUGCAGCAGGCCGGCUCUUUGUGGAGGACUCCAUUCAUGAUGAGUUUGUGCGGAGGGUGGUAGAAGAGGUACGGAAGAUGAAGGUGGGCGACCCACUGGACAGGGACACCGACCACGGGCCGCAGAAUCACCAUGCCCACCUGAUGAAGCUGAUGGAGUACUGCCAGCGUGGCGUGAAGGAAGGGGCCACACUGGUCUGCGGCGGGAAUCAAGUCCCUCGGCCAGGGUUCUUCUUUGAGCCAACUGUUUUCACAGAUGUGGAGGACCACAUGUUCAUAGCCAAGGAGGAGUCCUUCGGGCCUGUCAUGAUCAUCUCUCGGUUUGCUGAUGGGGACGUGGAUACUGUGCUGUCUCGGGCCAAUGCCACGGAAUUUGGCCUGGCUUCUGGUGUCUUCACCAGGGACAUCAACAAGGCCCUAUAUGUCAGUGACAAGCUCCAGGCAGGCACUGUGUUUGUCAACACGUACAACAAGACCGACGUGGCCGCUCCCUUCGGAGGAUUCAAGCAGUCUGGAUUUGGCAAAGAUCUAGGUAACCUACUCCUGCCUGUGGGGUUGCUUUCAUUUAUUCAUUCAACAAACAUCUGUUCAAAACCACUUAGUGUCAGGUCCUAUCCCAGAUGCAGGGACGUAGCCUUGAACAUGAUGGCUGUCAGGGCUCGCUUCUUACUGGGAGGGAACUUGUGACAAGUCCGUGAGCAAGUUGCUUGCAGAGGGGGGUGGUGCUGGGAAGAAGGCAAGAAGAGUGGCCUGGAGGAGACACUCCGGCCAGGAGGCAGUGGGGGCCUCUCUGGUGUGGUGGCACCUGUGCUACCCAGACCUACAUGGCAGAGAGGAGUUGGCCGUGAAGACCCAGGAGCCUGUGUUUCUGGCUGAGGCUUCAGCAGGUCCUUGGGGUAACAGCUUUGGUUGUGGAGCUGCAGAGAGGCUAGAGUGGUGGGAGUGGGCCAAGGGGGAGCAGGAGGGAGGAGAGGAGGCCUGAGAGGCAGGUAGGGGCCAGAUUGAAGGCCCAUGGGCCAUGGUCAGGGGCUCAGGUUGCGUCCUUAGUGUAAAGAGGAGCCAUGGGACCAAAUGUACCCCCGGGUGAACACCACGGGUGUUGCAAGUCUCCCAGUAGAGAUGAAGUUACUGAGGCGGCAGCAGGCGGGGUCCCCCAGCACACAGCACAGGCCCCCCCCCCCCAGUGCUCUGCCUGCUGGGUGGUGUGGAGUUCUGCUCUGGCCCUCUCUCCCUGGGCUGCUCCCAGCCUUGGGCCUCGUCCUGCUCUCUCAGCAGGGGGGACUAGACAGGUCUGAUGGGCAAGCUUGGCAAGGGUGGCUGGCAAGGCCCAGGGAAGCUGUAUGCUGUCUCAGAGGUCCCACCUGUCUCUCCAGGCUCCUGUGCCAGCCCAGAGACCACAGGGAAGGUCAUGCUGAGGCUGGGGCUCAAAGGGUGGUCACUGUUUCCAGUUUUCUCUCCUCCCCCUGCCCCCAUCUUUCAAGCCCUGCAGAAGCCCCCAAGGGUGCCUGUGAGAGGAGCCCAUGUGUGCCCACAGGGCUGGACUCACAUGCAUACAUGUGUAGGCUGGACACUCCUGCUUCCUCUGUCCCUGUCGGCCUCCUCUUCCUGCCUUCUCCCAGGCCACCUUCCUGGUGUCCACCAGGGGAAUCCAUGAGGCCCAUGGCCACCCAGGGAAGGCUGUGGCUGCCAAGUCCCCAGGACGUGAUCUGGGCCCCUUAUGAAUCCUCCCUGAGUUCCCCCAGCUCCCUCCCAACCCUAGUCCCCAUAUCCUGCUGAGAGGACCAGCACCCUCCUGGGACAGGCCCACAAGCCAAGCCUUCCAAGCAGCCUGCCUGGGCAGGCCCAGGACCUCAGAGGGAUGGGGCAAUGCCACUCCUGGGGCCAGCCAGAGCUGCUGGGGAGCUGUCAGGCAGCCCCAGGCCUCACACUUGCCAUGGGGCUGAGACGCACCAGCCACAUAGCACUGCCAAGGUCUGGGGCCUCAGGGCCCCUGCGAGGCAUCCCCUUUUCCCAGCCACAGCUUGAUGCAGACGUAGCUGGGGGCAGCCAUGAGAGAAGAGAUGGGCCAGUGAGUCCGGGCAGUAACGCCAUGUCUCUCCACCCACUUCCACCUGAAGGGGCUUCCCACUGUCCAGACAAGGCGGUGGGAGCCGGGGAAGAUUCUUAAAUGGCUGCCUCAGAUUGGCUUUGUAUUCUGGGGAGUCCUGGCCCACUAUCCACUGCCAGGGAUAACCUGGGUAAGAUACAUGACCUCGCUGGGCCUCGACUUCUCACCUGGAAGUGGGGUGAGCCAGAGCUGCCCCCACGCAGUUGCUGAGGAAUAAGACACUUGCAGCCCCGAGCAGUGCCCUGCCUGUGGUGGGAGCUGCUGUGACCUUUGUGGUGUCUCACAGGAGAGGCGGCUCUGAACGAGUACCUGCGGGUCAAGACAGUGACCUUCGAAUACUGAAGAAAGGUCUUUGUGAGAAGAAAGUCCCUGCCCUUCCCUCGUGGCUGGGGCCCCCUCCCUCUUGAGCCUGGGUGCACAGCACCUCCCACCUAGGGGGCUAGUGGAAGCCCUCCUGCCUGCACCCCAUGUCUGCAUCUCGGACGCCCUCUGUCCAGUCAGAAGCAGCCCUUGGCUGGGUGAGGUGUGCCCCUCCCAGGGAGAAUAAAGCUUCUGAAGAG